rnacentral:tRNA from 1 species
GCCGGGGUGGCGGAAUUGGCAGACGCACAGGACUUAAAAUCCUGCGAUGGGUCUUCUAUCGUGCCGGUUCGAGUCCGGCCCUCGGCAUCA